AACGAACGCUGGCGGCAGGCCUAACACAUGCAAGUCGAACGCCCUAGCAAUAGGGAGUGGCGCACGGGUGCGUAACGCGUGGGAAUAUGCCCUUCACUGCGGAAUAACGUUUGGAAACGAACGCUAAUACCGCAUAAUGACUCCGGUCCAAAGAUUUAUCGGUGAAGGAUUAGCCCGCGUUAGAUUAGCUAGUUGGUGAGGUAAUGGCUCACCAAGGCGACGAUCUAUAGCUGGUCUGAGAGGAUGAUCAGCCACACUGGGACUGAGACACGGCCCAGACUCCUACGGGAGGCAGCAGUGAGGAAUAUUGGACAAUGGGCGCAAGCCUGAUCCAGCCAUGCCGCGUGAGUGAAGAAGGCCUUGGGUUGUAAAGCUCUUCAGAUGUGAAGAGUAAUGACGGUAGCAUCAGAAGAA
rnacentral:rRNA from 1 species